GAAAAAUAAAAUUGGAUGUCAGUCAGACUUGGUUCUUAGCGCUGUUAUUCCGUCUUCCAUUUCUGUCUCGAUUAAUUCCAGUUCUCUUUGUGAUUGAAAUUAUCACGAUGGGCUCGUCGAUGAAGUUAUUCACUUUUACGUUUGUAUUGCUAGCCUUAAUCGAGCUAGGCUUCGGAGGUAUUUGUCGUAAUCCAGGGUCUUAUCAAGGUUAUGACGUAUCCGAUCAAUUUGGUGGAAACCGAGGUGAAUGCGUAUCCUUUUAUAAGACGUGUUCGGGAGAUCAUCGUCACACUUCGUCGUGGAGAAGAGGAGUACAAGUGAAAAAUAAUAGAAAUAUACCAUACGGUACGGGAAUAGCAUCUUUCACAAAUGGAAAUCGUUACGUCGGGAGUAAUUGUAACAGACCGCGUCCUUGUGGUCACGUUGCGAUUUAUGUUGGUCAGAAUUCACAGGGGAUCCAAGUCUGGGAUCAAUGGUCUGGAAAAAGUGUUAGCCAACGUACACUUAAGUUUGGUGGAAAGGGCUCAAGUAACGAUGGAAAUCAAUUCUAUGUCAUCAACUAAACUGGUUUCCAUUAAGAUGUCUAAACCCAAGCCGACGAAAAUGUUGUAGACCAUUUAUCUUGUAGUCGUUUUACAAUAAGCUGAACUCGGGAAUCCAAAGGAUAGUGCAUUAGUGCAAUGACUGUCAUCUUACCUGCUUAUGUAUAGUGUUAAAGAAUAUAAUACAUAUGAUAGAGCAUUGAAUAAUGAGGUAAAUUUUCAACUAAACUUUUGAAAUUGUAUUCGAGUUGCCAUGUCCGUUUGACGCGCAAUAUAUACUACCUUCGUCAAA